rnacentral:tRNA from 1 species
AAGAAAGAAGCAUAAGUGGUUUAAUGCGAUUGGCUUGAAACCAGUGUAAGAGGGUUCAACUCCUUCCUUUCUUG